rnacentral:lncRNA from 1 species
AAAUGAUACAUUUAUCAUAGACUAAAAUCACAUACUUAUGUAUUUGUAUACAUAGAUAUACUGAUCUGCUUAUCUAUUUUGAAUAAUAUCACACAGCUAUGAAUUGAUAUCUAAAAGAAUUUGAUUCCUCUCAGGAAUCAAGGAUAGAGCAUUGAUUCAGAACAUAGAUCCUGAGCUAGAAUGUGUUUAAAUUCAACUGCACAACUUGCCAUCUAUGUGACCUUAGGGCAGUACGCACAGAAGGAGGGGAUACUCGAUUCCACAUCAUCAUUCAGGGACCCAGGCUCCUUUGUUCUACUGGUUCAGUCUUCCCUAUGGUCUUCAGACUCCCUCACUGGACCCCUGGCAUUCAUGUUGCUGAUGAAGAACCUGGUUCUAUAUUUUCCCCUCUGGAAUCUAUUAGACUCUACAUCUUUAUGUUAAUUAUAUAAAAUUUCACCAAGCUUUGUGAAUCACCCCCAAUCUGCCUCUCAACUAAUAGGAGGCACACUGUAAGCAAGAAGGAAUACUGUCUCGCAGCCUUCACUUUGAAACACAUUGCUAGG